rnacentral:rRNA from 1 species
GAUGAACGCUGGCGGCGUGCCUAAUACAUGCAAGUCGAGCGAACAGACGAGGAGCUUGCUCCUCUGACGUUAGCGGCGGACGGGUGAGUAACACGUGGAUAACCUACCUAUAAGACUGGGAUAACUUCGGGAAACCGGAGCUAAUACCGGAUAAUAUAUUGAACCGCAUGGUUCAAUAGUGAAAGACGGUUUUGCUGUCACUUAUAGAUGGAUCCGCGCCGCAUGAGCUAGUUGGUAAGGUAACGGCUUACCAAGGCAACGAUGCGUAGCCGACCUGAGAGAGGGGUAGGCCACACGGGAGCUGAGACACGGUCAAUACUCCUACGAGAGGCAGCAGUAGGCAAUCUGACGCAAUGGGCGAGAGCCUGGCGGAACAACGCCGAGUGAGUGAUAAAGGUCUUCGGAUCGUGAUGCUCUGUUAUUAGGGAAAAACAAAUGUGUAAGUAACUAUGCACGUCUUGACGGUACCUGAUCAGAAAGCCACGGCUAACUACGUG